CAGUAGCCGCGGGAAUACGGAGGGGGCUAGCGUUGUUCGGAAUUACUGGGCGUAAAGGGUGCGUAGGCGGUUUGGUAAGUCUUGUGUGAAAUCUAUGGGCUCAACCCAUAGUCUGCACAGGCAACUGUCGGGCUUGAGAGUGGGAGAGGUGAGUGGAAUUUCCGGUGUAGCGGUGAAAUGCGUAGAUAUCGGAAGGAAUACCUGUGGCGAAAGCGGCUCACUGGACCAUUUCUGACGCUGAUGCACGAAAGCUAGGGGAGCAAAUGGGAUUAGAUACCCCCGUAGUCCCUGUCUCUUAUAC
rnacentral:rRNA from 1 species